rnacentral:rRNA from 1 species
AGGCAGCAGCUAAGAAUCUUCCGCAAUGGACGAAAGUCUGACGGAGCGACGCCGCGUGGGUGAUGAACGCCGUGAGGUUGUAAAGCCCUUUUCUACCUGAGGAAUAAGCGCAGGAGGGAAUGCCUGUGUGAUGACGGUAGGGUAGGAAUAAGCCCCGGCUAAUUACGUGCCAGCAGCCGCGGUAACACGUAUGGGGCGAGCGUUGUUCGGAAUUAUUGGGCGUACAGGGCGUGUAGGCGGAUAUGCAAGUCUGGUGUGAAAGACCGAAGCUCAACUGCGGGUACGCGCUGGAAACUGUAUAUCUUGAAUCCUUGAGGGGGACCUGGAAUUCCUGGUGUAUGGGUGAAAUCUGUCGAUAUCAGGAAGAACAUCAGUGGCGAAAGCGAAGUUCCUGAGCCGUUGAUUGACGCUGAGGCGCGAAAGCGUGGGGUAGCACACAGGAUUAGAUACCCUGGUAGUCCACGCCGUAAACGAUGUGCACUAGGUGUUGGGGUGUUGAAACCUCAGUACCGGAGCUAACGUGGUAAGUGCACCGCUUGGGGAGUAUGCCGGCAACGGUGAAACUCAAAGGAAUUGACGGGGGCCCGCACAAGCGGUGGAGCAUGUGGUUUAAUUCGAUGAUACGCGA